rnacentral:misc_RNA from 1 species
GUAAGCAAGUUCAUUCCAUUAUAGAAGCCCUAGUAAAAUCUGAAAAGCGUGAAAAUGCCCAUGGUAGGAGCAAGGUUCCUUCCAUCCAAACAAAGGGGGGAUUGAAAGACCAUAGUGAAAGAAACAAAGACCAGGAAAAUAUAGAUGGUCCAGGAGUGAGCAGAUUCAACCCUGCUCUUGAAGAUCUGCCAGGAAGCAGGUGUAGAAAUGGUUACCUAACAUCACUGAAUAAAUCAAUCUCUUUGAACUCAGUGUUUACAGGAGGAGAUGGAGGUGCAUGCAUGGUUGACACCAGGGUUACUGGAAAGAUGGUUUAUCAUCCAAACCCUAAUAUAGGCACUGAGAAUGAUGCACUUGCACUGAAAUUGUCAUCAUCCACAACCAUUGCAUCAGAUAAUACGAGCUCAUUAUCUAAUGAGGAAUCAGCAAACCUAGCAAGUGUUAAUUCACUUUCUAUCAAAGCUGCUAGUGUAG